GCUGGGGUAGCCAAGCUUGGUUUACGGCGCCAGACUGGAAAUCUGGUGGGCGCAAGCCCGCGCGAGUUCAAGCGCCUUUUUGCGGCCGAACGAAUCUCGUCCCCAGCGCCA
rnacentral:tRNA from 1 species